rnacentral:misc_RNA from 1 species
GAAACUUUAACAGCUAUGGGUGACUUCGGCUAUGGUGGCGGCAGUUAUGGAGGAGGUAGUGGUGGUUAUGGGGGUGGGGGAUACGGAGGUGGAUAUAGUGGCGGGGGUGGUUUUGGAGGAGGUGGAUUUGGCGGCGGUGGUUUUGGAGGUGGGGGAGGAGGUAGAGGCGGUGGGAGAGGUAGAGGCGGUGGGAGAGGUGGUGGGGGUGGGCGUCGCGACACCAGAGAGUUGGAUCCAGAACACGAACAAUUCAGGAAACUGUUUGUGGGGGGACUGAGCUACGAGACGUCGGACGACAGUUUGAAACAGCAUUUUGAACAGUGGGGAGAAGUUGUCGACUGUGUCGUGAUGAAGGACCCAGCCACAAAAAGGUCUCGAGGCUUCGGUUUUAUCACAUACAAAGCAGCUGCAGAGCUAGAUGAAGCUCAAAAUAACCGACCACACACAAUAGACGGACGGGAAGUGGAGACAAAGAGGGCCAUGCCUAGAGAAGAGUCUGGUGGAUCCCAGUCUCAGCAGUCAGUCACAAAGAUGUUCCUUGGUGGAAUCAAGAGUGACACGACGGAAGACCAAAUCAAAGAAGCAUUUGAGCCUUACGGCGUCAUUCAGAACAUCGACCUCAUCAAGGACAAGACAACCGGAGACCUGCGUGGGUUCGGCUUCAUCACGUUCGAAGAUUAUGACUCAGUUGAUAAAGCUGUGUUAAAGAAGUUCCAUGAAGUGAAUGGGAGAAAACUGGAAGUGAAAAAAGCUCAAUCAAAAGAUUCUGAAGGCGGCGGUGGGGGAGGCCGCGGUGGACGUGGGGGAGGACGAGGAUCAUCACGAGGGGGUGGAUUUGGUGGUGGAGGAUUUGGUGCUGGAGGUGGUGGAUUUGGAGGAGGUGGGAGUGGAUAUGGCAACCAGGGUGGCUGGAAUCAAGGCACUGGAGGCGGUGGAUACGGCAACUCGUAUGGGGGAGGAAACUGGGGUGGUGGACAGGCAAACUUUGGUUCAAACUACGGAAACAGUUACGGGGGUGGAGCAAUGAAAGCAGGCGGCGGCUUUUCACAGCGGGGCCAAGGACCGUAUGGAGGAGGAUAUGGAGGCGGAGGAGGUGGGGGGUAUGGUGGAGGCGGCUACGGAGGUCGAUGAGUUUCAAACAGUUGGUUUUCCAGGAACCUGUCUAAUGAAUGGUAUAAUGAUGACAUUCCAGCACCAAGUUCAACCUGCAACUCUUGGAUACAGAAGCUGUGCAUUAGAAUACCAGAGGAGACUCCACAUGAGGGUACAACUAGCAUCCAAAGAUCUUCCAAGAUCAGAGGCUGAACCACACGACUUCACACAGCACGAUUGAGACCAGACGAGCAUGAAAACGUCGUCUGCAUGUGAGACGGACAACAGAAUAACAGAUGUAUCACAAAUACCAAAUAUCAGUUGUGACAUAAAACUUACUUUCAACUUU